rnacentral:rRNA from 1 species
AGGAUUAACGCUGGCGGCAUGCCUAAUACAUGCAAGUCGAACGAAAGUAGCAAUACUUUAGUGGCGAACGGGUGAGUAACACGUAUCUAACCUACCAUUUAGUGKGGAAUAACUGUUGGAAACGACAGCUAAUACCGCAUAUGUUAUUUAUUUGCAAUGAUAAAUAAUGAAAGGAGCAUUUGCUUCGCUAAUUGAUGGGGAUGCGGCGCAUUAACUAGUUGGUAAGGUAAUGGCUUACCAAGGUAACGAUGCGUAGCCGAUCUGAGAGGAUGAACGGCCACAUUGGGACUGAGACACGGCCCAAACUUCUACGGAAGGCAGCAGUAGGGAAUUUUUCACAAUGGGCGAAAGCCUGAUGGAGCAAUGCCGCGUGACUGAUGAAGGUCUUCGGAUUGUAAAGGUCUGUUGUAAGGGAAGAAGUGCUAGAAUAGGAAAUGAUUUUAGUAUCGACCAUACC